rfam:Danio rerio chromosome 25, GRCz11 reference primary assembly.
GGCCGGUUAGCUCAGCUGGUUAGAGCGUGGUGCUAAUAACACCAAGGUCGCGGGUUCGUUACCCGUACUGGCCA